GAUGAACGCUGGCGGCGUGCCUAAUACAUGCAAGUCGAGCGAACAGACGAGGAGCUUGCUCCUCUGACGUUAGCGGCGGACGGGUGAGUAACACGUGGAUAACCUACCUACAAGACUGGGAUAACUUCGGGAAACCGGAGCUAAUACCGGAUAAUAUAUUGAACCGCAUGGUUCAAUAGUGAAAGACGGUUUUGCUGUCACUUAUAGAUGGAUCCGCGCCGCAUUAGCUAGUUGGUAAGGUAACGGCUUACCAAGGCAACGAUGCGUAGCCGACCUGAGAGGGUGAUCGGCCACCCUGGAACUGAGACACGGUCGAGACUCCUACGGUAGGAAGCAGUAGGGAAUCUUCCGCGAUGGGGGAGAGCCUGACGGAGCAACGCGGCGGGAGUGAUGAAGGUCUUCGGAUCGUAAAACGCUGUUAUUAGUGGAGAACAAAUGUGUAAGUAACUAUGCACGUCUUGACGGUACCUGAUCAGAAAGCCACGGCUAACUACGUG
rnacentral:rRNA from 1 species